GACGAACGCUGGCGGCGUGCUUAACACAUGCAAGUCGUACGGUAAGGCCCUUUCGGGGGUGCACGAGUGGCGAACGGGUGAGUAACACGUGAGUAACCUGCCUACAACUUUGGGAUAACGCUAGGAAACUGGUGCUAAUACUGGAUAUGUGCCCCUGCCGCAUGGUGGGGGUUGGAAAGCUCGGGCGGUUGUGGAUGGACUCGCGGCCUAUCAGCUUGUUGGUGGGGGAGUGGCCUACCAAGGCGGCGUCGGGUAGCCGGCCUGAGAGGGUGACCGGCCACAUUGGGACUGAGAUACGGCCCAGGCGCCGACGGGAGGCAGCAGGGGGGAAUAUUGCACAAGGGGCGCAAGCCUGAUGCAGCAACGCCGCGGGCGGGAGGACGGCCUUUGGGUUGGAAACCGAUUUCAGCAGGGACGAAGCUUUUUGUGACGGUACCUGCAGAAGAAGCACCGGCUAACUACGUG
rnacentral:rRNA from 1 species